UUUCUCCGCCGGCGACCGGCGCACGGGUGAGUAACACGUAUGCACCUGCCCUGUCAGGGGGACAACCCGCCGAAAGGCGGGCUAAACCCGCGUACAUGCCACCGGGGCAUCCCGGAGGCAGGAAAGGCUUCGGCCGGACAGGGAUGGGCAUGCGGCGCAUUAGGCAGUAGGCGGGGUAACGGCCCACCUAACCGACGAUGCGUAGGGGUUCUGAGAGGAAGGUCCCCCACACUGGUACUGAGACACGGACCAGACUCCUACGGGAGGCAGCAG
rnacentral:rRNA from 1 species